rnacentral:rRNA from 1 species
UUGCGUGGGGGCACCCUGACCGCAAUGCCGCGUGAGUGAAGAAGGCCUUCGGGUUGUAAAGCUCUUUUGUCAGGGAAGAAACACCGGCUCUAACACAGUCCGGGAAUGACGGUACCUGAAGAAUAAGCACCGGCUAACUACGUGCCAGCAGCCGCGGUAAUACGUAGGGUGCAAGCGUUAAUCGGAAUUACUGGGCGUAAAGCGUGCGCAGGCGGUUAUACAAGACAGGCGUGAAAUCCCCGGGCUUAACCUGGGAAUGGCGCCUGUGACUGUAUAGCUAGAGUGUGUCAGAGGGGGGUAGAAUUCCACGUGUAGCAGUGAAGUGCGUAGAUAUGUGGAGGAAUACCAAUGGCGAAGGCAGCCCCCUGGGAUAACACUGACGCUCAUGCACGAAA